rnacentral:rRNA from 1 species
GACGAACGCUGGCGGCGUGCUUAACACAUGCAAGUCGAACGGAAAGGCCCUGCUUUUGUGGGGUGCCCGAGUGGCGAACGGGUGAGUAACACGUGAGUAACCUGCCCUUGACUUUGGGAUAACUUCAGGAAACUGGGGCUAAUACCGGAUAGGAGCUCCUGCUGCAUGGUGGGGGUUGGAAAGUUUCGGCGGUUGGGGAUGGACUCGCGGCUUAUCAGCUUGUUGGUGGGGUAGUGGCUUACCAAGGCUUUGACGGGUAGCCGGCCUGAGAGGGUGACCGGCCACAUUGGGACUGAGAUACGGCCCAGACUCCUACGGGAGGCAGCAGUGGGGAAUAUUGCACAAUGGGCGGAAGCCUGAUGCAGCAACGCCGCGUGCGGGAUGACGGCCUUCGGGUUGUAAACCGCUUUCGCCUGUGACGAAGCGUGAGUGGCGGUAAUGGGUAAAGAAGCACCGGCUAACUACGUG